GCCCUUGUGGCCCAAUGGAUAAGGCGCCUGAGUACGGAUCAGGAGAUUCCAGGUUCAAGUCCUGGCAAAGUCG
rfam:Nematostella vectensis strain CH2 x CH6 NEMVEscaffold_25_Cont4526, whole genome shotgun sequence.